GACGAACGCUGGCGGCGUGCCUAAUGCAUGCAAGUCGAGCGAGCUACAGUCUUCGGACUGUAGCUUAGCGGCGAACGGGUGAGUAACACGUAGGUGAUCUACCCUUCAGAGGAGGACAACCUCAGGAAACUGAGGCUAAACCUUCAUACGUUCACUGGUAGGGAUACUGGUGAAGAAAGAGUUACCGUCAAGGUAGCUGCUGAAGGAUGAGCCUGCGGCCCAUCAGGUAGUUGGUGAGGUAACGGCUCACCGAGCCGAAGACGGGUAACCGGUCUGAGAGGAUGUCCGGUCACACUGGGACUGAGACACGGCCCAGACUCCUACGGGAGGCAGCAGCAGGGAAUCUUGGGCAAUGGGCGAAAGCCUGACCCAGCGACGCCGCGUGGAGGAAGAAGUCCUUCGGGGCGUAAACUCCUGGACUGGGGGACGAGGAAGGACGGUACCCCAGUAGAAAGGGACGGCUAACUACGUGCCAGCAGCCGCGGUAAAACGUAGGUCCCGAGCGUUGUUCGGAUUCACUGGGUGUAAAGGGCGCGUAGGUGGUUGUCUGUGUCUCAUGUGAAAACUCAGGGCUCAACUCUGAGAUUGCGUGGGAAACUAGGCAGCUAGAGGACGGUAGAGGGGAGUGGAAUUCCCGGUGUAGCGGUAAAAUGCGUAGAUAUCGGGAGGAACACCGGUGGCGAAGGCGGCUCUCUGGGCCGAUCCUGACGCUGAGGCGCGAAAGCUAGGGGAGCGAACC
rnacentral:rRNA from 1 species